AUCGAGCUGACCAGUCCCAAAUAAGACUAAAACGCGCGUCAUGGAU
rnacentral:hammerhead_ribozyme from 1 species